UUACCGGAGUACUAUGAAUACUAUAAAUUUAAAACUCAAAGAACUUGGCGGUGUUUUAGACCACUCAGGGGAACCUGUCUCGUAAUCGACAAUCCACGUUGUACCUGACCUUUCUUUGUUCUCAGUUUGUAUACCGUUGUCGUCAGGUAACUUUUUAGAAUGUAGAAGUUGGCUGGAGAAAUAAAUGAUUUAGUACGUCAAAUCAAGGUGCAGCUAAUAGAAAGGGGAGGAUGGGUUACAAUUAUUUAUUUAUAAUUACGGAUUAUUAUGUUAAAGCGUAAGGAUAAGAAGGAGGACUUGAAAGUAAAUUAAAUUUAUAAAAAUAAAUUUGAAUAAGGCUCUGAAACGUGU
rnacentral:rRNA from 1 species